AAACAAACAGAGGGGAAGGAAAGCAUCACAGCUCUGACCAGGAAAGCAUUUUGAGAUGGGAGCCCACAUUACCUGGCACACCGCUUGCUACUGUUUCCCCCAACCCCUCCAUCAGCUCAAGGUGACAAACCAGCGUUCCACGAGCUACAUCCAACCUGCUGUCACAUCCUGUUUGACCUAUUCUUGGUUGCCAACAUUUUAAUAAAGAAAUGUUACAUAGAAA